CAACCCUGCAGGAAAGGUGUUAGUAUUGCCUCCUGCCUUCAGAGCAAUGGGUAACACGCAUUCAUUGGACUCCAGAUGAUUCGAGCAUUGUGGGAUGGAAUUUGGGUUUUUUGUCUUUUUGUUUUGGCAAAUAAAAUACUUUCAGUAUGACCUUGGAAAGGUCACUUAACUUCAGUUCUGAUUCGUAAAUCUGAAUAAUAAUGAGACUUUCUUGACAGGAUGGUCCUGAAGGUCAAUGAAAUAGCACAAUGACGGCCAAUGUUUCCAUGGCACUUACUCUGUCUGCUUAUUGUGCCUCUCCCACACUAGAAUGGAAACUCCAGGGGAGCAAAAGCCUUGCCCAUCGUGUUCACUGCUGUAUCCCAAGUACCUAGAACGAAG
rnacentral:lncRNA from 1 species